CCUACGGGUGGCAGCAGUGAGGAAUAUUGGUCAAUGGACGAGAGUCUGAACCAGCCAAGUAGCGUGAAGGAUGACUGCCCUAUGGGUUGUAAACUUCUUUUAUAUGGGAAUAAACUGUUCCACGUGUGGGCUUUUGUAUGUACCCUAUGAAUAAGGCUCGGCUAACCCCGUGCCAGCAGCCGCGGUAAUACGGAGGAUCCGAGCGUUAUCCGGAUUUAUUGGGUUUAAAGGGAGCGUAGGUGGAGUGUUAAGUCAGUUGUGAAAGUUUGCGGCUCAACCGUAAAAUUGCAGUGGAAACUGGCAGGCUGGAGUGCAGUAGAGGUGGGCGGAAUUCGUGGUGUAGCGGUGAAAUGCUUAGAUAUCACGAAGAACUCCGAUUGCGAAGGCAGCUCACUGGACUGCAACUGACACUGAGGCUCGAAAGUGUGGGUAUCAAACAGGAUUAGAUACCCUGGUAGUC
rnacentral:rRNA from 1 species